GGGAGCGGAUGGAUACUGGCGUAUUCUGUGGUCUUCAAAACCAUUUCGGGGUGUUUGAACCAUCCUGGGUAGGUUCGAUUCCUACACGCUCCC
rnacentral:tRNA from 1 species